UAGCAUAUCAAUAAGCGGAGGAAAAGAAACCAACAGGGAUUGCCCCAGUCACGGCGAGUGAAGCGGCAAGAGCUCAAAUUUGAAAGCUGGCCCCCUCGGGGUCCGCAUUGUAAUUUGCAGAGGAUGCUUCGGGAGUGGCCCCCAUCUAAGUGCUCUGGAACGGGCCGUCAUAGAGGGUGAGAAUCCCGUAUGGGAUGGGGUGUCCGCGACCAUGUGAAGCUCCUUCGACGAGUCGAGUUGUUUGGGAAUGCAGCUCUAAAUGGGUGGUAAAUUUCAUCUAAAGCUAAAUAUUGGCCGGAGACCGAUAGCGCACAAGUAGAGUGAUCGAAAGAUGAAAAGCACUUUGAAAAGAGAGUUAAAAAGCACGUGAAAUUGUUGAAAGGGAAGCGCUUGCGACCAGACUCGCCUACGGGGUUCAGCCGGUAUUCGUACCGGUGUACUUCCCCGUGGGCGGGCCAGCGUCGGUUUGGGCGGCCGGUCAAAGGCCCUCGGAAUGUAACGCCUCUCGGGGCGUCUUAUAGCCGAGGGUGCCAUGCGGCCAGCCCGGACCGAGGAACGCGCUUCGGCACGGACGCUGGCAUAAUGGUCGUAAGCGACCCGUCUUGAAACACGGACCAAGGAGUCUAACAUCUACGCGAGUGUUCGGGUGUCAAACCCGUGCGCGCAGUGAAAGCGAACGGAGGUGGGAACCCUCACGGGUGCACCAUCGACCGAUCCUGAUGUCUUCGGAUGGAUUUGAGUAAGAGCGUAGCUGUUGGGACCCGAAAGAUGGUGAACUAUGCCUGAAUAGGGCGAAGCCAGAGGAAACUCUGGUGGAGGCUCGCAGCGGUUCCGACGUGCAAAUCGAUCGUCAAAUUUGGGUAUAGGGGCGAAAGACUAAUCGAACCAUCUAGUAGCUGGUUCUGCGA
rnacentral:rRNA from 1 species